rnacentral:rRNA from 1 species
AACGAACGCUGGCGGCAGGCCUAACACAUGCAAGUCGAACGCCGUAGCAAUACGGAGUGGCAGACGGGUGAGUAACACGUGGGAACGUACCCUUCGGUUCGGGAUAACUCAGGGAAACGUUGAGCUAAUACCGGAUACGUCCGAGAGGAGAAAGAUUUAUUGCCGAGGGAUCGGCCCGCGUCUGAUUAGCUUGUUGGUGAGGUAACGGCUCACCAAGGCGACGAUCAGUAGCUGGUCNGAGAGGAUGA